UCCCUGGUAGCUCAGUCGGUAAAGCGUCUGCCUACCACGUAGGAGACCUGGGUUCGAUCCCUGGGUUGGGAC
rnacentral:tRNA from 1 species